rnacentral:rRNA from 1 species
GACGAACGCUGGCGGCGUGCUUAACACAUGCAAGUCGAGCGGUAAGGCCCUUUCGGGGGUACACGAGCGGCGAACGAGUGAGUAACACGUGGGUGACCUGCCCUUCGCUCUGGGAUAAGCCUGGGAAACUGGGUCUAAUACCGGAUAUGACUCCAUAACGCAUGUUGUGGGGUGGAAAGCCUUGUGCGGCUAGGGAUGGGCCCGCGGCCUAUCAGCUUGUUGGUGGGGUGANGGCCUACCAAGGCGACGACGGGUAGCCGGCCUGAGAGGGCGACCGGCCACACUGGGACUGAGACACGGCCCAGACUCCUACGGGAGGCAGCAGGCGGGGAAUCUUGCGCAAUGGGC